GCCUGGAGCUGGGCAGUCUUGUCGGAGUGGAGCCUGGUAACCGCGACCUCCCCACCACUUCCUGUGUGUUGCUGGCUGGAAAGGGGUAGUUGACAAACUCCCACCCAGCACGGUAUUUAUGUCGGUCAAAAAUGGAAAACUAUGUGUCCGGGCGCGGCCGAGGAGGGAGGAUCCCUUCAGGCCAAGAGCAGCCUAGCAAUAUGGCGCAACCCCAUCUCUGUAGUCCAACCUCAGCCUCCCAGCUACUUGAACCCCAAGAUUCAAGGCUCCAAUGAGCUGUGAUUUCACCACAGCACUCCUGCCUGCGAGACUGAGAGACCAAAGACCAACGAACCACCACAGCCACCAGUUCUGGAACCUGCCAAUGAUGGGCAACGGAAAGUGAGGGAGUUCAACUCUGACGCAGUCUCUUGCUCUGUCACCCAGGCUGGCAGUGGCGCGGCCUCGGCUCACUGCAACGUCCGCCUCCUGGGUUCAAGUGAUUCUCCUGCCUCAGCCUCCUGAGUAGCUGGGACUACAGGCACCUGCCACCAUUUUUCAGAGAAAUGGAAUAAUCAUAUCGCUAAUCUAUGUAAACAAGUUGAAGAAUUGUCUGACAGAAAAUACAGUAUGUUUAAAUUGGAAAAGUCCUGUAAUACUUUGUUCAUAAGCAUUUACACAAUGGAGUUAUUGUUCAUCAUGGGGGUACUGUGGACAAGCCCAGGGCUGCUGGUGAAUCCUGCCAUCCUUACACGUCUCUCCUCGUAAGAGUUUCGCUUUUGUUGUUCUGGCUGGAGUGCAAUGGUGCAAUCUCGGCUCACCGCAACCUCCGCCUCCCAGGUUCAAGCGAUUCUCCUGCCUCAACCUCCAGAGUAGCUGGGACUACAGCUGGAGUUUCGCUCUUGUCACCCAUGCUGGAGUGCAAUGACAUGAACUUGUGAAUUCAACACGUGAAGAUUUACAACUAGAUAAACCAGCUUCAGGAGUAAAGGAAGAAUGGUAUGCCAGAAUCACUAAAUGAAGAAGGACGGUGGAUCAGCUUUUCUGCAAAAAAAUUUGAUGGAGUCCAGGCCAGAGUGCAGUGGUGUGAUCCUGGCUCACUGCAACCUCCGCCUCCUGGGUUCAAGCAAUUCUCCUGCCUCAGCCUCCCUAGUAGCUGGGAUCACAGGUUCCUGAAAGGGAGAGAGGAAAUCUUAGAUUUGUCAUUGCUGGGAACCACUGCAAGUAUUCAGGAAAUAUUCACUACUUCCAACCUCAUAAUCCUGCAGUCAUUUGGCACCUGUGAGUCAGGUGCCAGGAACUGGGCAGUGCAGAAGACAGUGCCCUGCCCCGUGCAUUCUGGAGCAUUCAAUCUGGUGGGGAAACAUGUACUGAAGCCUUUGGGAGCACUGAAGCCAAGGCUCUACUGUACCAAAAAUUUGAAGGCCAUGCGAAUGAUCUGUCUGUGGAAGGACUACCAGAAAACAUUCCUUUCAGAAGUUCCUCGUGGUAUGGAAUCCCAAGGCUGGAAAACAUCAUUCAAGUGGGCAAUCGAAUUAAAUUUCUUAUUAAAAGUAACUCCAGUCGGACUCCAUUGUCUCCAAGUCGACUUUCGUCCUCAUCCACAACUCCUCCACACAAGCCCUGAACACCUGUCCAUAUGGAGUUUUACUCUUGUUGCCCAUGCUGGAGUACACUGGUGUGAUCUUGGCUCACCACAACCUCUGCCUCACGGAUUCAAGUGAUUCACCUUCCUCAGCCUCCCGAGUAGCUGGGAAUACAGGCUGGAGUGCAAUGGCGCAAUCUUGGCUCACCGCAACCUCCACCACCUGGAUUCAAGUGAUUCUCCUGCCUCAGCCUCCUGAGUAGCUGGGAUUACAG